CUCCUCCGGACAUCCCCAAGCCGAUCCGUGGGGAUCAGACUGUGUAUGCCGGCUUGGUUCUGGGGGAGCAUUGUGGCAAACCUAGCCACUUGGACUAUAACCAGAGACUGUACCUUUAAGGGUUGCCUACAUGCCGGUGGAGAUAUGUGUUUAACUAUGUACACUGUAUGCUGACUGUAAUAUCUUGGAUUGCCUGUAUUUGCUAUCCGCCGAAUGCGGAUAGCUAUUUGUAUGGGGUUUGCCUUUUGUUUCACGAACGGCACUUUGGAGGGCCGUUCGUGAACCGAAAACAUGACCCCUAAUAGCCCACACACUUAGAG